GCCGGGGUGACGGAAUGGUAGACGUAGGGGACUUAAAAUCCCCAGACCGUAAAAGGUCGUGAGAGUUCGAGUCUCUCCCCCGGCA
rfam:Candidatus Kaiserbacteria bacterium RIFCSPLOWO2_01_FTLL_52_12b rifcsplowo2_01_scaffold_63622, whole genome shotgun sequence.